GUGUUAAGCUGGAAUUUUACCUUAGUUCUUUUACUGCCUUUGGGUGGUUCUAUACUUGUUUGUGGAUUUCUUCCUAUGCUAAAUGGUGUUAACCCCAUCUUUUUUCUGCCUCUUUGAGGUGAAUUUCCCAUGGAAAUGACUGUUUCUCUCCACCCCAUUCCUUUUUGGCCAGGGGUGCAAGAUCAAAAAGAUUAUAGUUUGAUAUAGUAAUGAAUGAGUAUUGGGGAAAUAAUUAUAAACUGUCAUGUCCUUUAGGAAUUUUUGUUCUCUUUAACUGUCUGCUUUCUGAAAAAGAUAGCUGCUUCUUGUACUUUUAUUGAUAACUAGACAAAGGAACUACUUGUGAACACCUUUAAGCUCGCUUGCUGUCUUUUUUUUUUUUUCCUUUUUUAUCUUUUUAUAGUUGUACCUGUGGCGUAUGGAAGUUCCCAGGCUAGGGGUCUAAUCAGAGCUACAGCUGCCAGUCUAUGCCAGAGCCGCAGCAACGCGGGAUCUGAGCUGCAUCUCUGACCUACACCACAGCUCAUGGCAACGCCGGAUCGUUAACCCACUGCGCAAGGCCAGGGGUGGAACCCGUAACCUCUUGGUUCCUAGUCAGAUUUGUUAAUCACUGAGCCACGACGGGAACUCCAAAUGUGAUUUUUUUUUUUUUUGAAAUGUAAAUGUGUUACUUGAAAAAAUAUUUGAGUAUUUGUAGUUUUGUGAUGGUGACUUUUGUGUCUUUUUUUUUUUAAUUUUUUUUUAUUUUGUCUUUUUGCCAUUUCUUUGGCCGCUACUGCGGCACAUGGAGAUUCGCAGGCUAGGGAUCUAAUCGGAGCUGUAACCUCGGCCUAUGCCAGAGCCACAGCCAUAGUAAUGCCAGAUCCGAGCCGUGUCUUCAACCUACACCACAACUCAUGGCAACGCUGGAUCCUUAACCCACUGACCGAAGCCAGCGAUCAAACCCGCAUCCUCGUGGUUCCUAGUCAGAUUCAUUAACCAUUGAGUUAAUGACGGGAACUCCUGUGAUAGUGACUUUUAAACCUUUUUUCACCUGACUGCUCUGAAGAAGAAUUUUAUAUCUUCCGUUAACUUUUGAGUUAAAUGUAAUCAUUCUUCUAACACGGAUGAAUUAUGUUACUUGAAAUUAAAACAUAGAAAAUUUAUACUCACCUCUUAUUCUCUUUUUUGGUCACCAACAUGAUACAUUAUUAGAUGUGUCCUUUUCU
rnacentral:lncRNA from 1 species